AUUGAACGCUGGCGGCAUGCUUUACACAUGCAAGUCGAACGGCAGCGCGGGCUUCGGCCUGGCGGCGAGUGGCGAACGGGUGAGUAAUACAUCGGAACGUGCCCAGUAGUGGGGGAUAGCUCGGCGAAAGCCGGAUUAAUACCGCAUACGACCUGAGGGUGAAAGCGGGGGAUCUUCGGACCUCGCGCUAUUGGAGCGGCCGAUGGCAGAUUAGCUAGUUGGUGGGGUAAAGGCCUACCAAGGCGACGAUCGGUAGCUGGUCUGAGAGGACGACCAGCCACGCUGGAACUGAGACACGGCCCAGACUCCUACGGGAGGCAGCAGUGGGGAAUUUUGGACAAUGGGCGAAAGCCUGAUCCAGCAAUGCCGCGUGUGUGAUGAAGGCCUUCGGGUUGUAAAGCACUUUUGGCGGGAACGAAAAGGACUGUGCCAAUACCACGGUUCGAUGACGGUACCCGCAGAAUAAGCACCGGCUAACUACGUG
rnacentral:rRNA from 1 species